UAACCUACCGAUACCUUAGAUAUUGUAUCGCCCCGCGACAAACACGACAAAUCAUCCUGCGAAAAACAUCCUGACUCAUAGAUUCCAAAUUCCUAACCAGCUAGCCUCCCGUACCCGAUUACUCAUCUUGCCCCUUUUGCACUCUACCCUUAUGCCGACCAUUUCCAGUAGUAUAUAUAUUACCAUUUUUAACCAGCGAGUCAGUUUUCUGUAGUUCGUACUUGCGUGCGGAACUUACCGCUUACGAAUAAAAACCUUCGAGCCUCUCUAACAAGUUGCGUUUAAAUUCCUCAAUCCGGAAUCCAACAGUAUCACAUAAUUAUUCAGCUAUGACUAAUUGAUGAUUUUGUAAUAUACGAGAUUGGUCCCAGUCAAAUGAUUUUAAAUGUCUUCAUCGCUUUCGGACACACCGGAGUAUGAAGGGUUUCGGUACAAGUGCUCAUCGAUCUUUCUUGAGAGGAUGCUUUCAUCUUGACGGGCUGGAUUAGAAGCUAGUUUCGUACUCGGGCAGACAUCGAUCGGGAACUAAUUCUUUUUUGUGGUUUAAAUGCUUGACAAAUAUUUUAGAUUAACAUAUAAACAAGAUGGAUGUGACGUUAAUAGUGCGACUAUUUUGCUGAAAUCAUUUCCAUGGAUCACGUGCGACCUAUUUACUUGCGCUGGCGAACCGGGUCACCAGACGACGAUGGUUGGAGUUUUAAACCUUUACAGUGCUAUUUCGGAAUGACAGCCCACCGGAAAUUCAGCAGAAGACAUACUCACCGAUCGAAAGUGGAGAGUGGUCACUUACGGUGUCUCGUUCCGGUGAAACACUUCUUAUCAUCGAAAGCGGUGAUAAGAAUGGAGAAAGAAGCUCACUCUCUCGCAGGCAGUGUGACUAGCAUGAUACUCGGGAGAUUUAGUUUUCACCGUGGAUCUUAAAAGAUAAAAGAGAACUUGGUACGGUCCACGGGUGGAACCGUCGUUCGCUUACGUCACCGACUACGCACCAAUCCCGAUUGCCUCAACUAGUGAGAGAGGAACAGAGAAUGAAAGAGAGAGAAAGACGUUCCAACAGACUAAACUCUCAUUUUCUUUCUCUCUAUAUUUUAAAUGGCCCUAAUUAAUAAUGAGUGAUACGUUAUCGGUAGUAUACGCAACAUAAUAGAAAUCUAUCAGGAAGCUUAUUAAAGCAUGACUAAGACAAUUAUAAUCUAAAUUAUUGUCCAACUGAAACGCUUUUUAAAAUGAAAACAUACAACUGCUUUUCAAUUUUCACGUAAUCUCAAAGUGAAUAAUUAUAAUCUAAAAAUUGCAACGAUUUUGCAAAAUAAAAAAUAUCCACGAAGACUUCACAAAUUUCGAAAUGGUCGAACUCUUUUUUUUGAAUCGUUCAAGUUUCUAUAGCUAAUAAUAAAUUUUUUAUAUUUUUAAAAAUUAUAAAAACUAUGAAAUAAUUAAUAAGUAUUUUAAGUAUUUUCAAGAAACAGAUGUUUUAAAUCUGCGGUAACACUGUCAAGCGAAAACGACAUUAUCUGAAUUAACUAGUAAUUUAAACAUUGUACUGUAGAUGACGCUACGGUUCAUUUUAAUGUGGCGAUUUUGGGGUCUAGAUGUUCAGAUGUUUAUGCCACGAUUUUGCUAGAGGUAAAUAGUGAGUUGCCAAAGAAUAAAUCUCGGUGCUGGAUUAUAAACUUCUUCAUUUAAAAUUCAUUAAAAAAUUACACUAUACAAUGUUGUCUAGGCGUGUCGAAUUGUCUCUCCUCGAGCUAGUAACUUUGAUCAGGGAUUCCCCUACUACCUCUACACGAUUGUGUACAACAUGAACAGCUCUAUGUAGUGGUCAAUGC